rnacentral:rRNA from 1 species
CGGGAUGAGUUCUCCCUGAGACUUAGAGUCUCCUGAAGGAACGUUGAAGACGACGACGUUGAUAGGCCGGGUGUGUAAGCGCAGCGAUGCGUUGAGCUAACCGGUACUAAUGAACCGUGAGGCUUAACCUUACAACGCCGAAG